rnacentral:rRNA from 1 species
UACGUAGGAAGCAAGCGUUAUCCGGAUUUAUUGGGCGUAAAGCGGGCGUAGGUGGCUUUUCAAGUCCGAUGUGAAAUCUCCCGGCUUAACUGGGAGGGUGCAUCAGAAACUGUUGAGCUAGAGUGCAUCAGAGGAAAGCGGAAUUCCCGGUGUAGUGGUGAAAUGCGUAGAUAUCGGGAGGAACACUAGUGGCGAAGGCGGCUUUCUGGGAUGUAACUGACACUGAGGUCCGAAGGCGUGGGUAGCAAACAGG